UUUACUGUCUCUUACUUCCAAUCCGUGAAAUUGACCUUCCCGUGAAGAGGCGGGAAUACAACAAUAAGACGAGAAGACCCUAUGGAGCUUUAAUUAACCGACCCAAAGAGACCCAUUAAUUUAACCGACAGGAACAACAAACCUCUAUAUGGGCCGACAAUUUAGGUUGGGGUGACCUCGGAGAACAGAACAACCUCCGAGUGAUUUAAAUCAAGACUAACCAGUCGAAAGUAUUACAUCACUUAUUGAUCCAAAAGUUUGAUCAACGGAACAAGUUACCCUAGGGAUAACAGCGCAAUCCUAUUUCAGAGUCCAUAUCGACAAUAGGGUUU
rnacentral:rRNA from 1 species